CUUGGAAAUAAGCAGACCUCCCAGGAGUUGAAUAGGGAGGCUCUGCAGCAGGAAUGUAUCCAGUACAGAAACAAGGCAAGGCUAGAACAGACACCAAACAUGAAAACAAGACAGAACUAGCAGAACCCAGAACCAGAGAAGGAUAGGAAGCUAAACCCAGAACAAGUACACAAUACAUAAGGGAAACAUUAACAUAACAUGGGCAGGACAAGACA